GGGCCAUAACUCAGCGGCAGAGCAUCUGCCUUGCAAGCAGGAGGUCCCAGUUUCAAUCCCUGCUGGCAUCC